rnacentral:rRNA from 1 species
GAUGAACGCUGGCGGCGUGCCUAAUACAUGCAAGUAGAACGCUGAAGGAGGAGCUUGCUCUUCUGGAUGAGUUGCGAACGGGUGAGUAACGCGUAGGUAACCUGCCUGGUAGCGGGGGAUAACUAUUGGAAACGAUAGCUAAUACCGCAUGACAACAGUUAUUGCAUGAUAACUGUUUAAAAGGGGCAACUGCUCCACUACCAGAUGGACCUGCGUUGUAUUAGCUAGUUGGUGAGGUAACGGCUCACCAAGGCGACGAUACAUAGCCGACCUGAGAGGGGGAUCGGCCACACUUGGACUGAGACACGGCCCAGACUCCUACGGGAGGCAGCAGGAGGGAAUCUUCGGCAAUAGACGGAAGUCUGACCGAGCAACGCCGCGUGAGUGAAGAAGGUUGUCGGAUCGUAAAGCUCGGUUGUAAGAGAAGAACGAGUGUGAGAGUGGAAAGUUCACACUGUGACGGUAUCUUAACAGAAAGGGACGGCUAACUACGUG